rnacentral:rRNA from 1 species
UACGUAGGGUGCGAGCGUUGUCCGGAAUUACUGGGCGUAAAGAGCUCGUAGGUGGUUUGUCGCGUUGUCCGUGAAAACUCACAGCUUAACUGUGGGCGUGCGGGCGAUACGGGCAGACUGGAGUACUGCAGGGGAGACUGGAAGUUCCUGGUGUAGCGGUGGAAUGCGCAGAUAUCAGGAAGAACACCCGUGGCGAAGGCGGCUCCUCUGGGGACGGUACUGGACGCUGAGACGGCGAAAGCGUGGGGAGCGAACAGG